rnacentral:rRNA from 1 species
CAGGAUGAACGCUAGCGGCAGGCCUGACACAUGCAAGUCGCGGGGCAGGCACGGGUAGCAAUACCUGGUGGCGACCGGCGCACGGGUGCGUAACGCGUAUGCAACCUGCCCCCAUCAGGGGGAAUAGCCCGCCGAAAGGCGGAUUAAUGCCCCCAUAGGCCCAGGGCGCCGCAUGGCGCUAUGGGUAAAGCUCCGGCGGAUGGGGAUGGGCAUGCGUGCCAUUAGCUAGUUGGGGCGGUAACGGCGCACCAAGGCGACGAUGGCUAGGGGGGUCUGAGAGGAUGGUCCCCCACACUGGUACUGAGACACGGACCAGACUCCUACGGGAGGCAGCAGUGAGGAAUAUUGGUCAAUGGGCGGAAGCCUGAACCAGCCAAUGCCGCGUGCAGGAUGACGGCCCUACGGGUUGUAAACUGCUUUUCCCCGGGAAGAAUAAGCCCCUCGUGAGGGGUGAUGCCGGUACCGGGGGAAUAAGGAUCGGCUAACUCCGUGCCAGCCGCCGC